GAAGUGGGGAUGACGUCAAAUCAUCAUGCCCCUUAUGACCUGGGCUACACACGUGCUACAAUGGUUGGUACAACGAGUUGCGAGUCGGUGACGGCGAGCUAAUCUCUUAAAGCCAAUCUCAGUUCGGAUUGUAGGCUGCAACUCGCCUACAUGAAGUCGGAAUCGCUAGUAAUUGCGGAUCAGCACGCCGCGGUGAAUACGUUCCCGGGCCUU
rnacentral:rRNA from 1 species